ACAGCCACCGGCAGCUUUGGGGGAAGCUGCAGGAGAUACCAGGCCUCCUGUAUCCUUCCACGACAACACAAACCAGAAGCACAUUACCCACAAGUGCCAUGACACCAGCAUUCUCACCCACCUUCAGUUAUGCCCAGCAGGCUUUUUGAAGCCCCGCAGCGUUCAGGCACUUGGUACCUUACCUCCAAGGUCUGUUACAACUUAUUUUUUCAAGAGCCCAGCCUUUGAACCCCUCAAGUGGUUUAAGGGACACGGCAGUUGCCUGCUCCUGGAAGCAGUGCCAGAGUCACAGCCUCAGUACCCACUCGCAUCAGCUUCGCUUCCAGAGCCCUCUUUCAGUCCACCUGAACUUGGCAGCUAUCGCUAUUUCAAGCUUAACGCCACACGUGAGGGGCCUGAGCUUUAUCUUUAUCCUUGCAGAGUUAAAAAAAAAAAAAAAAAAAAAAAAAAAAAGCUACCUGUCUCGCAUUUAGCCUAGCCCUCUCUGGCACCAAGGCUGUACGCCACCGAGAAGGCAGAGCUAACAGCUAUGAAACAGACCCUGCUGAAAGCAGGAACGGCUCACCUGCAGCCUUACUUGGUACAGCGGGCAUCUACAAAGCAUCUCCUUUUCUGCUGAGCCAGCCCGCUUCUGGAAAGCUUUAAAUGCCUACCUUUACAUGGCAACUCUGGUACAGUAAACAGAGUUUGUGCAAUGCCUCUGCACUGGGCUUGCGGACUGAUGUAUCAGGAUGGCAGUACUGAAAGAAAGCCGUAUUUCUGCUGUCAAAAAGGGAGUAAAAUCGGUUACUUCACAUCACACACACACACGUCCAGCCUGUGGUAGGCAUCCCUGAAAAACCACGGGCUCGGUUUUCUACCACUAGAGGAGUCAGCCCUUCUUCUAAAGCCUCUGUCCUCCUAGGAGGCCCUCUGAGCUCCAGGCCCCCUCGCGCUGCCCGGAGGGGCUGGCUGCUAGCUCUUCAGGGCCAUUUUGGCGUUGCUGUGCUAAUCUGCAGCACCACACCGAGCUCUUAUCGGCUGUGCUCUGAAGGCUUGGAGGUGACCACGCCUCGGCCGCUCUGUCCCGGCAGACUUGCGGCUCCUGAUAGAGGGGGUUUUACUGCACUUCCCCUUUGCCCCGGCUCGCAGGCAGCACACGCAAGGAGCCAGCACCAUCUUGCUGCGCCAGGUUAGCAGCACAAACCUCACGAGGGGCGUUGCUAACAACGGCCUCCAUCACCCAGGGCAUCUGGGCUGCCAGAUCUCAGCACAGCUUCAAGUACAGGCUCGAAAGCAAGGAGGUUUUAGCCCCCUGGGUUCGCUGAGAUGGUAGGACUGGAAGAAGAGAUUUAAGCAAGUUACCACGACUGACUAGCUGAAGCUGUUUUCCCAGGACAGGACCCCUACAUUCCCUGCAGCUCAUUGCAGCGAGCGGCUCGAUUCCAAGAGAGCUGCCCUCGCACCCGACCACCUGACAACAAAGCCAGGAAACUCGCAGGUGAAGGACGAGUGUUUUAGCUGGCUCUCCUAGGGGAGAACUGUCUUAGUGCCAGAAACCAAACCCUGCCUCCUGGACGGGGCAGAGCUCUGCUGCUCAGAUCGAGGAGAGCGAGGUCCAGCGCCCCAGAACCUGACCACACAUCCUCCAGCAGCAGGGAUUCACUUGGCAAGUUUCAGAUUUAAGCUCAGGUCUCCAUUUCACACCCUUCUUCAGGUGUUCUCCGGGCCUGAGACUGGUGUCUGUAUACCAGCUGAGCACUGCUAACUGCAGCUGGUCACAUCCCUGCGGGCAGAGAAGGUUUGAAGGUUUGAAGUCCUACCAGCUUCAUCUGGAAGAGACUUACUGGGACAGGGCAUUUCCUUUUACUCGGCUGCAAGCUUAACAAGUGCUAUUUCAGUCGGGAAGCGCAGCUUCCUCGUUAGAGGAGGGCAGUCUCAGAGGGCCGAGGACUCCGCCCGGCAGUAACUCACAGCACUAUGCCCAAACGGAGGUUGUGAACAGAACAAACCCAAGCACGUCCUAGCAGAUGGCGGACCUCUUUGGGAGGUCCAGACUUAACCACCGGGUCAAAGUUGCUUGGAUAUUGCAGGACGGAUUUAUCUUAAUUGCGAUCAAAGUGCCAUCUGCUAGGUGUCACACCUGAGGUAGCCAGCCCCGGUUAGCGGUGGGAGACGUGGUCCUUUAUAAGCUUCAUAACAUUUUCUGAGGCUAGGGUCAGAAAAAAAGAGUCAGUUGGCUGUGGAGUUCUGAAGCAAGCCUGGAGCAGCUUUCUGAUGGAGCCGUGACCUUCAGCGAGGUCUUUAAGUACCCAAGUUCCUCCUGCUAAGAUUUAAUCUUUUAACCUCAGCAGAUCCCAUGAACGAAGUUUGCUCCAAGCCCCGAGCCAGGCAGGUUACCCCGAUGGUGACAAUCCCGGCAGUGGCUUGCACAAGAGCUUCAGCAGCCAGGAGUGCCACCCGCCUCGUGGUAAGGCUCGCGGUAACUUCUGCCGGCUCUCCAGAGGCCGGACUUCCCUGCAGUAUCAGUCACUCCCUUCCCCAACCAGGCUAAAGUUCAGGUGGCUGAGGCAGAAGCAUUUGUGAAGUUAAGCAAACAGAGACUGAGAUUAUUAUUAGGAAACAUGACAGGCGUGUUUCUUUGGAGGCUUUUAUUAUGAAGACUUCACUACUACUCCGUGUACUACCUGUAGUGCAGGCUCUGGAGUUAGAAGGGCACAGGGUUCUACAGCAGGUUUUUUUUGCCCCUCAAAGAUGGGAAAAAGAAGGAACCAUUCACCACUCUUUACGCUAUGACAAUCACUCCCUUGGCUUUCAUGGAAAUGAAAAAGCAGAACUUGCUGGCCGCGCUUGGGCAACCAAUUUACAGCUCAAGUUAUUUUACAGUAACGUUUGCUGGAGUUGAGUUGUGCUGGUGUCCUGAAGCACGCGGGGAAGAAAGCAUUCGGCCCAGGAGCUGCUCCGCCAGAGCAGAACCGCGGAACAGGCUGCUGCAGAGCUGCAGCCCUGAGGGGCUCCUCCAGCUCCAGGUCAGACGGUGAAUGAAAGCGCGGUGGCUACGACGAGUUUUUCAUUUCACAUUCCUCACGGAUGUUCCUGGUAACUCACCCAGGGAAGCUGCUGUGCUACACACGCCCAACACCAACCUGAACGGCAGAACUGCUGACAGGAGCCGCUGCGCCGACCCCUUCCUGGAACAUUUGCUUUCUUUCUGACACUUUGCUUAGCUGUCAAAUAAUUUCUCCUUGCCUGCAAGGAAGGGCACAGAACCGCUGAGCUUGCGUUUCACCUCGGCUCUCACACAACAGGAUGCGAGCACUGCUCUCGGAGCCACGAGCAGCUGCUGAGCCUCUGCCCGGAGCCUCCUUAUCUGCGUGCAGCUGGGAAGUGCCAGCCAACAGCCGCGUUCCCAGCCUCUGAGGAGCACGGAGGGGUUUGUUUUGUUUAAAUAAAGCACCUCGCUGUGCAGCCAGUCACGUUCCUGCUAGCGCGAGGCCGUGUUUUCCUGGGCUCUGAUAGAGCUGGGCAGGCACCAGGCUGCACUUGCGCUGCUCGUUUCGUUCCAGCCGUGAUGCUCAGCUAACUUCUCACAGAUUUAUUUUAUACCCGGGCUGACCCCUCAGAGCUGCUGACUGCAGUCCUCUAACACGGAAACCCACAGUGAGUUAAGCUCUGAAGCACUUGGUGCGUAUCGGCGCAAGGUAAGAGUCACAGCGUGAGGCAGGCUAGGAAGUCAUGCUUCCAGCAGAUAAGAGACCUCUGCAAUAGUGAAGAACCCUUCUACAUCCUUCCUAUUCUCGGCCUCACCCCAGCAGGCUGAGGUACUCAUCCGGUCCCGGCGCCGCGGGGCCACCUUGGUUACAGGCCACAGCCCGAGACCCCACCUGCCGAAACGCGGGCACGGCGCCACUGCCUGCGAUCACCGGCACCUGCUGCGAGGACGUGCUCGUGAACCGCUUAGCUAAUUACUCCCAUCCAAUUAGUCGACACACUCUUUGGGUUGUCUGGAUUCUUCCUUGCAGACUUCGCCCUACACCUCUGCGAGAACAUCCCAAGCUCACGGGCUUUAGGAAGUCACGUCCACGAAGCUGGGUGGGAGAAACACCCCAAAACAGCGUAGGGCACGGCAGUGCUGCCUCCACCCUGACUUCUUGAAAUACCAACAGGAGGCUUCAACGCUUCGAAGCAGUGCUGCUGCAGCAGAGAUUUAGUGGUACAGAGGAGUAUUUAUUAACGCCUUCACUCACACCAGCACGCCUGGUCCAAGUUCAGUUCUCGAGUAUUUCAGGAUAGAGUGGCUGAACUAGGUGGCAAGCACAGCUCAUCCCCUGCUACCUUGUCUCACUCAUCAGGAACCUGUACUCUUAGAAAACCUCCACGCUCCUAAAUAAGCAGUUGUUUGUAUUUUUUAUUAUUAUUUUUUUAAUUUCACCCCUCCAGUUCAGAGGCAUCAACUUACGGAAUCACUAGAAUUGGAUACGAGCAGCCAGAUUUGCAGUCAUUCAACACGCUACACGCCCACUGGACUGUUUCCUCAUGGCUACUUC